rnacentral:rRNA from 1 species
UACGUAGGGGGCUAGCGUUGUCCGGAAUCAUUGGGCGUAAAGAGCGUGUAGGCGGCCCGGUAAGUCCGCUGUGAAAGUCGGGGGCUCAACCCUCGAAUGCCGGUGGAUACUGUCGGGCUAGAGUGCGGAAGAGGCGAGUGGAAUUCCUGGUGUAGCGGUGAAAUGCGUAGAUAUCGGGAGGAAUACCGAUGGCGAAGGCAGGUCUCUGGGCUGACACUGACGCUCAUGCACGAAAGCGUGGGGAGCAAACAGG